UAAUUCUAGAGCUAAUACAUGCUGUUAAGCCCAACUUAUGGAAGGGCCGUAUUUAUUAGAUAACAGACCAAUAUUCUUCGUGUCUAUUGUGGUGAAUCAUAGUAACUAAUCGGAUCGUAUGGGCUAGUCCCUCGACAAACCAUUCAAGUUUCUGCCCCAUCAGCUUUCGAUGGUAGUGUAUUGGACUACCAUGGCUUUCACGGGUAACGGAGGAUUAGGGUUCGAUUCCGGAGAGGGAGCCUGAGAAACGGCUACCACAUCUAAGGAAGGCAGCAGGCGCGUAAAUUACCCAAUUCUGACUCAGAGAGGUAGUGACAAGAAAUAACGGGCAGGGACAUACGUCCCUGGACU
rnacentral:rRNA from 1 species